GACGAACGCUGGCGGCGUGCUUAACACAUGCAAGUCGAACGAAGAGCGACGGAAGCUUGCUUCUAUCAAUCUUAGUGGCGCACGGGUGAGUAACGCGUAAUCAACCUGCCCUUCAGAGGGGGACAACAGUUGGAAACGACUGCUAAUACCGCAUACGAUCUAACCUCGGCAUCGAGGAUAGAUGAAAGGUGGCCUCUACAUGUAAGCUAUCACUGAAGGAGGGGAUUGCGUCUGAUUAGCUAGUUGGAGGGGUAACGGCCCACCAAGGCGAUGAUCAGUAGCCGGUCUGAGAGGAUGAACGGCCACAUUGGGGCUGAGACACGGCCCAGACUCCUACGGGAGGCAGCAGUGGGGAAUCUUCCGCAAUGGACGAAAGUCUGACGGAGCAACGCCGCGUGAGUGAUGACGGCCUUCGGGUUGUAAAGCUCUGUUAAUCGGGACGAAAGGCCUUCUUGCGAAUAGUGAGAAGGAUUGGCGGUACCGGAAUAGAAAGCCACGGCUAACUACGUG
rnacentral:rRNA from 1 species